AAUCGUGUGUAAACCUACAAAUGAAUCGGAUAAGGAAAUUGAUGACGUGGAGUUUGAGGCAUCGAAUGGUGGUCACAAAGACAUUCCAUCCAGUAUCGAGGAUAGCCAGCAAGCAAGCAUCUGUGAAUCUUUCUAUGAAUUGGCAAAAGUUAGCAAGUUUAAGAGAUUCGACAAAAGGGCAAAUGCUUUAAAGACUUGGAAGUGGGAUGAAGUGAUACAAAUUGAUAGUGAAACCGAAGAUGAAGAAGAGGAUGUUACACCUGUGAUAAAAAGAGCUAAGCAUGCUUUUGUUGUUGAAUCAAAAGUUGUUGGGUAGAAACAGAAAUGUUUUUAAUGGGUCUUGUAGUGGUGUUAGAAAUUGUACGUUGUUGUUUUUGUGUUUUUCCUUUCCUAGGCUGGACCA